UGUGCUCAUUAUUGAUGGGAAUAGCAGGUGCAUAUGCUGCACAAUGUCGAACUCGGCCCAAAAACAUUCCUUGGUUGGGUUGGCGGCGACAUCCGACUUCAUUUAUAACCAAGAAGAAGAUCAGAUACAACAAGAAGCAAUAAUAAUAACAUCAUUAUCAUGCAAAUAAUUAUACAAGAGACGACGCGGAGGAAGAGCGUAUUUUAUUUGUGAUUUGAUGAUGAUUACUUUUUUGGUCCUGUUGCUGAGAGGAAUGUUAGGUGAAAAGGUAACCAGCGGGGAAGGCUGAUAUAUAUCAUUCUCUAUCAACUACAAUAUUAAAUGGCCAAGCUGUAUAGCUUACGCAGAUUGCAUUUCUAACGACGGCUCAUCACCUUUUUCUAACCCUAAUUGCUCUUUCAGCGCCUUAUUCUUUGCCUCUACUUCUUUCCUUCUCCAUUCUGAAAGGCUACUCGGAUUGACAACCCACACUGCUGCUUCUCCUUUUAUGUCCUCCACUCCAUACGCCAAGCCUUCAUUUACCCCCAUCUCCCUUAUGACUUUUCCCACAGCCCCCCGAUUGUUGAUGGUAACCUAGAUGCUACGGUGAUACCAGGCUGAGGUCGACGAGCUGAGCGAUUGCUUGUAGUUUUGUUGGCUUUAGGAGGGGGAGGUGGAGGUGGCAAAACAGGCGCGGACGUUUGCUUUUCAACAAUAGCAAGCAUCAUUUGGCAAACAUUGGCGAAGCCACGUCGGAAAGGCGAGUGUUGAAUCUGAUGCAGUUCAAUAUGAUCCC
rnacentral:sRNA from 1 species